AAAGGACUUUGAAAAGAGAGUUAAAAAGUGCGUGAAACUGCAUACUGAAAAGCGAAUGAGUACGCGUCGGUCCAGAUUGUUGCUAUUCAGGUGCGAUUAGUCGGCAUUUUCGAAUGUUGUUUAUGGCGUUUGAAAUGUUUUUAAUCGUACCGCAUUUAGCCAAUCGGCAUUCUGCUUGGUUUUGUUUUGGCUGCGCCUGUGCUAAGGUACCCCGCCCUCUUGUAGGGUUGGUGGAAUUGGUAGUCGUGUUGCUUAAUGCACACGUUGAGAAGGUUAUUGUUGGCAAAUAAUGGUGGUCAGUUAAGAUGAAGCUUGACAGACUCUUAUUCUGACGACCUAUCGAUUGUCGUUCAAGCUGGUUGUGUAUAUUGUGGCAUGCAUUUAUUGUAUGACACAAUGAUAUUAUGGUCAGAUUAUGUAUUGGCGUUAUCGGUCGUUUGAAUGCAAAAGCAGAUAUAGUUGCGGCAUCAUUCGAACCGUCUUGAAACACGGGCUAAGGAGUUCAACAGAUGCGCGAGUUCACUGGUAACGCGAAACCAGAUGGCUCAGUUAACGCGAGUUUGUGAUUGAUAGUGAUAACCUGGCUGCUACUAAGCACCAGGGUCAUCACUUAUGAUGGAUGGCAUAUAAAGUACCGGUUGUCGUUCGCAAUAGAGCGCAUAUGCUGAGACCCGAAAGAUGGUGAACUAUGCCUGAGUAGGAUGAAGCCGGAGGAAACUCUGGUGGAGGUCCGAAGCGUUUUUGACGUGCAAAUCAAUCGUCAGACUUGGGUAUAGGGGCGAAAGAGACUAAUCGAACCAUCUAGUAGCUGGUUCCCUUCGAA
rnacentral:rRNA from 1 species